rnacentral:rRNA from 1 species
GAUGAACGCUAGCUACAGGCUUAACACAUGCAAGUCGAGGGACCGGCGUACGGGUGAGUAACGCGUAUCCAACCUUCCCAUUACUGUGGGAUAACCUGCCGAAAGGCAAACUAAUACCGCAUAGUAAUGGAUAGGGAUGCGUCUGAUUAGUUUGUGGGCGGGGUAACGGCCCACCAAGGCGACGAUCAGUAGGGGUUCUGAGAGCAAGGUCCACAUCAUUGGAACGGGGACACGGUCCAAACUCCUAGCGGAGGCGGAAGUGAUGAAUAUUAGUAAAUGGUCGGACAUAUGAACCAGCCAAGUGUAGGGCAGGAUGACGGCCUGGGUGUAGUAAGCUGCUUUUGUAUGGGGAUAGGUACCCUAUGAAUAAGGACCGGCUAAUUCCGUGCCAGCAGCCGCGGUAAUAC